GACGAACGCUGGCGGCGUGCCUAAUACAUGCAAGUAGAACGCUGAAGGAGGAGCUUGCUUCUCCGGAUGAGUUGCGAACGGGUGAGUAACGCGUAGGUAACCUGCCUGGUAGCGGGGGAUAACUAUUGGAAACGAUAGCUAAUACCGCAUAAGAGUAGAUGUUGCAUGACAUUUGCUUAAAAGGUGCAAUUGCAUCACUACCAGAUGGACCUGCGUUGUAUUAGCUAGUUGGUGGGGUAACGGCUCACCAAGGCGACGAUACAUAGCCGACCUGAGAGGGUGAUCGGCCACACUGGGACUGAGACACGGCCCAGACUCCUACGGGAGGCAGCAGUAGGGAAUCUUCGGCAAUGGACGGAAGUCUGACCGAGCAACGCCGCGUGAGUGAAGAAGGUUUUCGGAUCGUAAAGCUCUGUUGUAAGAGAAGAACGAGUGUGAGAGUGGAAAGUUCACACUGUGACGGUAUCUUACCAGAAAGGGACGGCUAACUACGUGCCAGCAGCCGCGGUAAUACGUAGGUCCCGAGCGUUGUCCGGAUUUAUUGGGCGUAAAGCGAGCGCAGGCGGUUAGAUAAGUCUGAAGUUAAAGGCUGUGGCUUAACCAUAGUACGCUUUGGAAACUGUUUUAACUUGAGUGCAAGAGGGGGAGAGUGGAAUUCCAUGUGUAGCGGUGAAAUGCGUAGAUAUAUGGAGGAACAUCGGUGGGGAAAGCGGCUCUCUGG
rnacentral:rRNA from 1 species